AAACCUACUCUAGGACGCGGUUGGAUAAACGCAUGUUGUUCGGCAGCAGCUGUUAACCUUUAAAGCGCUGAUACGUUUUGGUUUAUUUCAAUUUUUUUUUUUUACACGAUUUGCUGUUUUUUUAAGAAGUCUCUGAAAUCGUCUCCCUUGACAGGGCAAGCAUAGCGUGCCUUAAGUCUCCAUCUCGUGGAAGAUCUGCUUGGUUAGCAGUUGCUAUGUGUUGCUGUUGGCUUUUAAGGAACAUCUCUGCGUUUGGUUCUUUUUUUUUGUUUCUUUGGUUCGUUGGUUGUUUUUCUUUUUCUUCUUUUUUUUUUUUUUCUUUUUUCCUCUUUUUGUUUUAUUUGAUCAUUUUUGUUCCCUUUUCCAUUUGGUUUUGCAGAGAAGUUUGGCAAAUACCAGAGCCAUCAAGGUCAGGGCAGGCCCUCCAUCCUUCUAUGCUUACUGAUGCUGUUGACCUGGGCUCCUUGUGUGCUCCUCUGCACUCUACCACAUUGCAAAAUUUGACUUCUCUACUGUGCCUGAUCACAUCCUUCUCCCAUCCAUGAGAUGCUAUCUUCAGUCCUGUCUGCUUUCUACCAGGCAUUAGUCACAACUGGAGACUGGACUAAUUUGCUGAUGUUGCACAAGGAGUUGUCUUUCCUGGAGACCUGGCUGAUGUGAACAGAACUCACAAAUGGUAUCGGACCAAAAGUCCAUUCAG